CGAAUCUGCAUGUCUAGUAUAAGCAUUAUACCGUGAAACUGCGAAUGGCUCAUUAAAUCAGUUAUCGUUUAUUUGAUAGUACCUUACUACUUGGAUAACCGUGGUAAUUCUAGAGCUAAUACAUGCUGAAAACCCCAACUUCGGGAGGGGUGUAUUUAUUAGAUAAAAAACCAACGCCCUUCGGGGCUUCUUGGUGAUUCAUGAUAACUUUACGGAUCGCAUGGCCUUGCGCCGGCGACGGUUCAUUCAAAUUUCUGCCCUAUCAACUUUCGAUGGUAAGGUAUUGGCUUACCAUGGUUUCAACGGGUAACGGGGAAUUAGGGUUCGAUUCCGGAGAGGGAGCCUGAGAAACGGCUACCACAUCCAAGGAAGGCAGCAGGCGCGCAAAUUACCCAAUCCCGACACGGGGAGGUAGUGACAAUAAAUACUGAUACAGGGCUCUUUUGGGUCUUGUAAUUGGAAUGAGUACAAUUUAAACCUCUUAACGAGGAACAAUUGGAGGGCAAGUCUGGUGCCAGCAGCCGCGGUAAUUCCAGCUCCAAUAGCGUAUAUUAAAGUUGUUGCAGUUAAAAAGCUCGUAGUUGAACCUUGGGUCUGGCUGGCAGGUCCGCCUCACCGCGUGUACUUGUCCGGCCGGGCCUUCCUUCUGGAGAACCUCAUGCCCUUCACUGGGCGUGUUGGGGACCAGGACUUUUACUUUGAAAAAAUUAGAGUGUUCAAAGCAGGCCUUUGCUCGAAUACGUUAGCAUGGAAUAAUAGAAUAGGACGUGCGGUCCUAUUUUGUUGGUUUCUAGGACCGCCGUAAUGAUUAAUAGGGACAGUCGGGGGCAUCAGUAUUCAAUUGUCAGAGGUGAAAUUCUUGGAUUUAUUGAAGACUAACUACUGCGAAAGCAUUUGCCAAGGAUGUUUUCAUUAAUCAGUGAACGAAAGUUAGGGGAUCGAAGACGAUCAGAUACCGUCGUAGUCUUAACCGUAAACUAUGCCGACUAGGGAUCGGGCGAUGUUCUUUUUCUGACUCGCUCGGCACCUUACGAGAAAUCAAAG
rnacentral:rRNA from 1 species